GGGACUCGAUCCAGGGUCUCCAGGAUCACGCCCUGGGCUGAAGGCGGCGCCAAACCACUGAGCCACCUAAGAGCCUCUCCUAUGAGCGUGAUGCCCAACCGUGUAUAGUCCUCCACAUUUAUCAUUGUCUAUCUCAUCAUUUUCAUCUCUUUUUCCCUUUCCUCUGCAUCCUGGGGGAGCUUCCCACAUUUGCCCAGGACUUGAUUUUAUAAAUCAGUUCUGCCCUUACCGUGUCCCUAUGGAUUUCAUUUUGCCAUUGCAUUCUUAGCAUCCUUGCAAUCCUGACUCAUCCUCCCUGUCUCCCUUUUUUUCUCUCAUCCUGCUUCUACUCCUACCUCUUCUUAUGGUUUCUGCUCUCAUUUCUUAUCGUACUUACCAAAGACCCCUAACGCUAUUCUAAAAACGUUCUUCUGGUUCCUACAGCCUGGCUGGGUAUUGGCCAAUGGAAAUUGAGUGUGGAUCACCCUUGGCCCUGCUUGGGGGCUGGUCAAAACCCUUGCUCAUUUCUACAGCAAAAGCAGGUAGGUGUGCUGGCUGCCGUCUGGGCUACCCACUAUAGUAAAGCUUUCAUCUUAUAUAUGGGUACUGUCGGGUUGAAAUGGGACUUUCUCAUCCCUCUAGUUCCUGUUUCUUUUACUUGCUGAACAAAAGGAAUCUAUAAAAAUGUAUUAUCUCAGAUGUGCUGUGCUCCCAGGACUUUUCUUCUCACUUAUUUACUUGUGGGCAAGGGAUUUCCCAACAUGCAUUUGCUCCAGAAUUUUCCUCACCUCUCUGCUUCUCUCUCUCUCUCUCUCUGUCUCUCAUGAAUAAAUAAAUAAACAAAAUCUUAAAAAAAAAAUUGCAGUUCAAUUCUCCAGGCCUUUUGGGUGUAUUUUGGUUUUCUUGAUUAACCCUGGCUUUAGUAAUGCUAUGAUUUUCAAUCUUUUGAUGAGUUUCCUAUCUUCCUGGACAUUUUUAGAUCAGAGGAAGCUUUCCAUUUGAAAGCAGAACUCUGAGAAUGUUUUAGCUUGCUUUAUUUUAAGUAAGCAACUUCAUAUAAAGAAAUUUCAGGGGCACCUGAGUGGCUCAGUGGUUGAGCAUCUGCCUUUGGCUCAGGUCAUAAUCCCAGGGUCCCGGGAUCUAGUCCCGCAUUGCGCUCUACGCAGCUAGCCUGCUUCUCCCUCUGCCUAUGUCUCUGCCUCUCUGUGUCUCUCAUGAAUAAAUAAAUCUUAAAAAAAAAAAAAAGAAAGAAAAAAGAAAAGAAAGAAAGAAAUUGAUUUGAUUGGAGUAACAUUAAUUUAACCAUUACUAGCAACAACAAAAGCACCUUGAUAGAUAGAUGUAAAUCAGGAAGGAUAAGAGAUACUUGAAAUGCCUGGGAGGCUCAAUGGUUGAGCACCUGCCUUCAGCUCAGGUCUUGAUCCCAGGAUCUGGGAUCAAGUCCAACAUCAGGCUUCCUGCGAGGAGCCUGUUUCUGACUCUGCCUCUCUCUCUCAGUCUGUGUCUCUCAUGAAUAAAUAAAUAAAUCUAUAAAAAAAAGAGAUACUUUGCUGUGUUCUGUUGGAUAGUAGUAAAAUCUUUAAACUGACCUUACCCUAAUGCAUUAUAACAUAAAAGCCCAGAAUAUAAUAGAAAAAGACAACUGGGGAACCUCAGGGUACAUAAUGCAAUCAUCAAUAUGAAAAUAUCUUGAUUUCAGUGGUUCUGUGCUGGAUCCAAAUAUCCUCAAGUUAUAAAGUUUUUAAAUUCUUAACAAAUUAUAAUUUUAUCUUACACUAUAAAUAAUAGCUUAGACAAGCCUUCCAAACUUCUUAACAUACUUUAGCAUCCUUUCUCAACUGGUCCCUUCCCUUCUUGUCUUUAAGAUCCCUACCUGCAUCCCUGACCGGGCAGAAACACCAGGCCUCUCCUUUCUAUGAACACAUCAAGCCCUUUCUUAUCAUCCUGCCUUUUGUACCUACUCUCCUCUCUGUGCAGGUCCUGUGCCCUCCUGCACCUGGACAACCCUUACGUACACUCAGGACCCAGGUACCAGGGUUUUUUUCUGUGAAAUCUCUCUUGUUCCCCAGGCAUUGGUGGCUCCCUCCACUUUUAUUUAACACUUGGUACCAAAACCUCUCUCAUAAUGCAGGUCAUGGUCAGUUGUCCUUACAUGAUAUUCAGUAUAUACUGAAUUAAAUGAACCGAGAAGAAAUAAUAGGAAGCUGAUAUUUAUGCUCAUCUCAAUAGCAAUAAUGGUCCCUACUGGCCCCUCUACUCUUCCAGACUGGCGGACCUUCCCUGAACUUAGUUUAUAAAAAAUAGAGGGAACAUAUGAGCAAUUUUUUUGGUAUUACACUGAAAGGCCAUCCUGAAAGAAGAUGAGAAGUCUAAAGUCUGUCACUUUUUUUUUUAAGAUUUUAUUUUAUUUUUUUUAAAGAUUUUAUUUUUAAGUAAUCUCUACAUGCAACAUGGGGCUCAAACUCACAACCCUGAGAUCGAGAGUCACAUGCUUCACUGACUGAGCUGGCCAGGCACCCCCAAAGUCUGUCACUUUUGAACUGUAUGCCCUUGAGCAAGGUUCUUACCUGGUAUUCUUCAUCUACAGAAUGAGGAUAAUAGAAGUUUCCUUAUAGGAUUGUUGUGAAAAUAAAGGAGAUGCUAUCUUAGAGUCCUUAGAAGAGUUCCUGGCACAUAGUAAAGUUUCAAUAAAAAUUAGGUAUUAAUAUUAUUCAGUUGGAGAAGACAGACAAAUUGAUCAUACCAGGGUCAGGCCUAAAUGGAAUCACAGAGAGGCACUUGGCCUGAUUUUGGAGUCGAGAACCAACAUGCCAGAGGACAUGACCCUUAAAAGAAACUUCCACAAGGAAGCACCCCUCCUUGACAUGCAGGCUGCCCUCUUUACAGCAUUUCUUUCAGCCCAGCCUACCUGCAGGACUAAUCUGAUUUAGGGCCCUUAUCUCUAGGGUCAACUGCUGCAGCCCAGAAUAUCCCAGACUUUGGACAAGAGUAAGGAUUCUGGAGGAAGCUGCCUCUGUCACCAGUCAGCUGUGUGAGCCUGCAAAGCAGCUCAACGUCUCUGGGCCUCCAGGACCUCAUCUGUGAUGCUCCUUCCAGGAGAGGUAGUGGAGCAAUGAGAAGUCCCUAGGGUAUCCACCUCAGCAGAUGAGGUGACCUAAGGCAAAGCACAGAUAAGUGAGGGCCUUCCUGGACAGACAGACCCUGACUCUUUUCCCUACCUCCCUAUGUGGAUGAAGAGAUCUGAAAGAGAGGAACAGGACUAUAAUUGGAAAUGCUGUGCCCUUCUCAGCAGGAAUCAGAAUGGAAAAGGCAAGAAGUAUGGUGAAAGUAUUUGCAUAGAUAUUAUUUCUGGACACCCUAUUUAUUUCUUCUCCGGAUGUUUCCCUCUGAAGUAAUGAAGGGCACAAGCCAGAGAGCUGUGUCCAGAGCUCUUGGCUCAGCGUGGCAGAUGUAAUUCUCUCUUGAUUGCCUCUGUGGCAUCUCUCCCUCUGGCCCUGUCCCUUACCUGUACAGAAUAGGGACCUUCCCACUCACUUGGAGCUGCUCAGAGAAUGCCCUCUACUGACCCCCGGCUGCUCCCAGUGUGCAGAAAGGAACUCUGACAUAUUUCCAGAAACCCAUAGAAGCCCAGGAUGCAGCUGCCUCCAUCUCUUUGUCAAAGUGUGGGUUAGAUUAAUUCAUUGGCUUCCUGUGUUUACAGGGCUGGAAAAAAAAAAAAAAAAAAA
rnacentral:lncRNA from 1 species